ensembl:lncRNA novel transcript
GAGUAGCUGGGACUACAGGCAGCCGCCGCUACGCCCCGCUAAUUUUUUGUAAUUUUUAGUAGAGACGGGGUUUCACUGUGUUGGCCAGGAUGAUCUCAAUCUCCUGUGUCUUUAACUCUUCUUAAUUCCCCACUGAUGACGAAAAUGAUAGAAAGCAAUAAACCAGAUUUGAAAUUCAGAGUGAAACAUCUAAGAUCGGUUUAUAUGUGCAACUUGACAUUCCAAACAAAUACUUCAAGUCAAAAUAUUCCAAGCCGAAAUUCCUUCCAAACAUGCAUUUCAGCCUGGUUAUCUCUUGGAAUGCUGGACUGGUCAGAGAAGAACGCUUCAAGUAAGCAUGCGUUCAACUCCAGUAAACACACUGCGCAUGCUCCUCUCCCAAGUGCUACCAGGCCACUGGGCGUGAGGACAGCCCAGCCCAAGGGAAGAAUUAGAGGAGAAGUAACACAAGACCCCAGAAGUAUGCCAAAGUAGAAAACCACAAAUCUAAGGGUCAAAUUGUGCGCUUGAUCUUUCAAGUCGCCCAGCAUUGCCUUGUGCUGGUCUGUGCGUUUCCCCAGGCUUCUCUAGGCCUGGUUUAACUUCAUGAACUUUUCCUGUAGAUUCUUUGCUGACUUGCGAUGGAACUGGAUCACGCUACUUUCUUUCAUUUUUGCUCUAAAGCUUUUUAAUAAACUGUCGCUCCUGCUCUAAAA